rnacentral:rRNA from 1 species
UGAAAGUGAAGUGCCGUCNGAAGGCUUGAGCGGAGACUGCGUGCGCAAGUGCGCGGUGCAUCCGCGGGCCGCGCUAUCGGCUAGCUUGUCGGCUUGCCGGCACUGCUGAGGCGUGGACCUAGAGCUCACACGUUGGGACCCGAAAGAUGGUGAACUAUGCCUGGCCAGGAUGAAGCCAGGGGAAACCCUGGUGGAGGUCCGUAGCGAUUCUGACGUGCAAAUCGAUCGUCUGAGCUGGGUAUAGGGGCGAAAGACCAAUCGAACCAUCUAGUAGCUGGUU